UACGGAGGGGGCUAGCGUUGUUCGGAAUUACUGGGCGUAAAGCGCACGUAGGCGGCUUUGUAAGUUAGAGGUGAAAGCCCAGGGCUUAACCCUGGAAUUGCCUUUAAGACUGCAUCGCUAGAAUUGUGGAGAGGUAAGUGGAAUUCCGAGUGUAGAGGUGAAAUGCUUAGAUAUGACAUAGAACACCAAUUGCGAAGGCAGCUCACUACACGAAUAUUGACACUGAGGCACGAAAGCGUGGGGAUCAAACAGG
rnacentral:rRNA from 1 species